rnacentral:rRNA from 1 species
AUACGUAGGGGGCGAGCGUUGUCCGGAAUUACUGGGCGUAAAGGGUGCGUAGGCGGUUGAUUAAGUUGGAUGUGAAAUACCCGGGCUUAACUUGGGGGGUGCAUCCAAUACUGGUUAACUAGAGUGCAGGAGAGGGAAGCGGAAUUCCUAGGGUAGCGGUGAAAUGCGUAGAUAUUAGGAGGAACACCAGUGGCGAAGGCGGCUUUCUGGACUGUAACUGACGCUGAGGCACGAAAGCGUGGGGAGCAAACAGGAUUAGAUACCCUGGUAGUCCACGCUGUAAACGAUGAAUACUAGGUGUAGGGGGUAUCAACUCCCUCUGUGCCGCAGCAAACGCAAUAAGUAUUCCGCCUGGGGAGUACGGCCGCAAGGUUGAAACUCAAAUGAAUCGACGGGG